UGUAGUUCCAAUUAUGACUUUGAUUCCGAUAUGCUUCUUCCCCAGAAGAUGUCUUUAGGAUAUAAGUAAGACUGCAGCUUCCUGUAUAUUGUCAGGACUGUAGCUGUCAAUUGGCUUUGGGGAGCUAACUGAAGGGUCUGACUUAGAGGAUCUAAAUUCUGAACAGAUUAGGAUAUCCUCUCUGAUCUAAGGCCAUUUUGAGAUGUUUGCGAAGAAACUUCUGAGGAUGUCCCUUUACAGAGCAGCAGGAGAUUUGCUCUCUGUGUCAGCCCUUGCAUCUCUGUACUGGAGAGACUAAAUGGAGAUCCACAAGCUGAAAAGCCUGCAAGCUACCUGGUGAUUACCACAGAGGGGAUUUCGAUCAGCAUGGUGAGAGGAGUGAUUGCAUUUCCUCCGCAUCCGUUCAGUCUUCCCUUUGGCUUUUGAGAUCUACAGAGGAUUGAAAGGCAAGUGAAGUGAUGGGUUCGCUGACUCAGCCCUUUGGGUACCUCUUUACUUUGGAUAGA
rnacentral:lncRNA from 1 species